rnacentral:rRNA from 1 species
UACGAAGGGGGCUAGCGUUGCUCGGAAUCACUGGGCGUAAAGCGCACGUAGGCGGAUCUUUAAGUCAGGGGUGAAAUCCUGGAGCUCAACUCCAGAACUGCCUUUGAUACUGGGGAUCUCGAGUCCGGGAGAGGUGAGUGGAACUGCGAGUGUAGAGGUGAAAUUCGUAGAUAUUCGCAAGAACACCCGUAGCGAAGGCGGCACUCUGGGCCGAUACUGACACUGAGGAGCGAAAGCGUGGGGAGCGAACAGG